rnacentral:lncRNA from 1 species
AAAAAAAUAAAUAUAAACAAGCAGAAAAAGGGAGAGACGGAAAGCAGAAGGAAGUCAGGGAGCUGCCUUUGCAGCUGGCGGGUCAGAAAACAGCGUGCAGAAAGUGAGGGCAGAGAGGCACUGGCAGACUGGAGGAAUAAGAAACACGAAAAGCAAAGUGAGGGGAGGAGGAUAUAGAAGUGAGAAGGAGGUGAUUGUGGAAGGGGAAUUUUGGUGGAAGGCAGAGGGCUGCCCUUUGGGCAGCGUGAAGCUGCGGAGAGAAGGGAAGGGGGAAGCUGCCCUUUUGGCAGCGAGGUCAGACAGCACAGGAAAACAGAAAGAAGGAGGGCAGCUCGCAGACGUAGAGAGAGGACAGGAGGUCAGCAUGAAAAUGCAGUUCAGAGUUCAUGCAGUUCAGAGUCCAAGCAGCAGAUCCUUUCUUUCGGUUUAAUCUUUCCAAACUCCUAUUUUUUAUUUCUAUUUUUAAUAAUGUGUAAUUAAAUUUAUUUUGGCUAGAGGUUAAUUCAAAGUCAUGGAUAUAUUUGUAAUAUGAAUUGAUUACCUUCGGUUGUGAUUUCAUAAGUUGUGAUUUCAAUUUACUUAUCCGUUCGUAUAAAAACUGAUUUGUGUAUGUUGGUUGAGAGUGCACGCUUAAUUUACAUGCAUGAAUUUGAUGCUAGAAUAUAAGUGAAUUUCACCUAAUCGUUAUGAACUUAUUUUCACAAGUAGUAAAGGUUGCUAGUCACAAUCACGUUAAGUAAAUUCUUGGCAAGAGUAUCAUGCUUUUCAUAGUUACGAAUGCCUCGUCAAUGCUUAUAGUUUUCACAAAGUUUAAUGAUCUUUGAUUGUAUCUCUAUUGUGCUUUUCACGUAGGGGACUUUUGAAGAAGAAUGUUUUGAAUUGUUGUAUGCGCGUUUUCCCGUCCAAUUCAAUAACUUAAGGAAAACUUGAAGAUUAAAAAAGUGCUGUUCACGGUUAAUCUGGAGUAUUGAAAUUCACAAUUUAUUGAAAGAACAACUGGAAAUCAUUUUGUAUGCAAGUAUAACAUGUGUGGAGAAGAACCCUCUAGCUAGUCCGUCAUUUAUCUUUUCAUUUUAAUUUUCAUGUUUUUGUCAAUUCUGUAAUUUAAUUAAGUUUAAUUUACUUUUCAUCAAAACCAAACACCCAUCCAUUAUUAAAUUAUAUUAUUUAUUUAGUUUUCUUUAUUGUUAGUCUUUUAAUUUAAUUUCCAUCCAUUUCAGUUCCUAGUGUUUAAUUUAAUUGUUUUCAUUAUUUUGAGUCAUUUUAAGUUAAGUGUGUUUCGAGUUAUUAGAGUUUUUAGCCUAGUUUUGUAUCCUUGAGUCUUGUUUAAUAUUUUUAAAUUAAUUUAGGACAGAUUAGCAAUCCCUCCUAAUCCCCGGCCUAGAACGAUACCCCUACUUACAUCUAUACUACAAUUGUCAAAAAGAGGGUUUAAUUUUGUGUGUUAACUUAUUUUACGCAUCAAAUUUUGGCGCCGUUGCCGGGGAUUAGUAACUUUGCUAAUCCUUUUAUUUUUGUUUUUGUUUAUGUUUAUAUUGGUGUUUGUGUAUUUUACUUUUGAUAUUUGAUUUAUUUUUCUUUCUUUGAUUUUAGGUUCAAAUGGAGCCGAGGGAAAUUUAAAGGAAAGAUGCGUCCGGCUAAAGACGUUAAAUCAAGCGCUUCUUGGGAGGCAACCCAAGCAUUCAACGAAUGGAGACUUUGGAAUCGCUAACCCAAUCAGAUUUGCAUUUUUACACCCUUAUCUUUACUGCUUUCAUUUUGUUUUGUUUAGUUAGUUGUGUUAUUUGUUUGAUUUCUGUGAGUUUGUGUUAUUUAGUUUAAGUAUGGGGGAAGGUUAACCAAAGUCUUUCUACUUUAAUUUACAUAAAAAAAAAAAUUAAAAAAAAAAUUAAAAAAAAAAUGAUAUAAUAAAAAAAAAAAAAAAUAAAAAAAAGACAAAAUUUAAAAUUAAUGAUAAAAUAAAAAUAAAAAAAAAAUUACAUAAAAAAAAUAAAAAUUAAAAAAAAAUUAAAAAAAAAUAAAAAAAAAAAAAAAGUACAAAUAUUUUACAAUGAUGUAAACUAAUAGUAUUCAUUGGUCGGGUGGUGCUUCAGUAGUAGGCGGGGCCACGGAAGGAGGAGGCGGCAGAGGUUGAUCAGUUGGAGCUUCACUACGCGGUGCCGCUCCAGAAGACGAAGGCAGAUGUUGUUGGAACAAACCCACAAACCUCCGAUGAUCAAGUAAAAUUUGACCAUCGGUGUCCUGCAUCUGGUCAAUCUUCCUCUUCAUGCUGGUAGCAUAGUUGUGUGCGAGCUUGUGCAAUUCCUUAUUCUCAUGCUUGAGCCCUUUAAUCUCUUGCUUGAGACUCUGUAUUUCAGCCACCAAGGAUUGGUCAUACGUACUAAGCUCCUGAUCACUACUUGGGGCCAUGCAAUAUUGCACGCAACCAUGUUGGUCUACUUGAAGCCUGUUGCGACCCAACCAUAUGGCGCCAUUCAGUUGGUUACCGUAUACGAACCCAACAUAUCUCAUUUGCACGUUUUUGGUUGUUGUACGGUCUAUGUGCCAAUUUCACCGCCUUUACAUACAAAAAUGGGGCCUAAGCGAAGGAUGUGAAUCUAUGUUAGAUAUGAUUCUCCUUCGAUCAUUCGUUACUUAGAUUUUUUGACAGACGAUCUGUUUCGUGGAUUGUCACUUCUAUGAGACAGACUUCCCGUUGUUAGGGGGAGAUAAGAACGUCAAUGUUCCUGAAGAACGACCUGAAUUAUUGUGGACGACUCCUACUUUGUCUCAUUUAGAUCCCCGCACCGCUUAGUCUGAAACUGAAGUGCAGUGUAUAUUAAAUCUUCAAAACAUAGCUCAAAGCAUGCCAGAUGCUUUCACCAAUCUAGCGUCAGUGACAAGAUCACAUAUUCCAACUACAAAUGUGCCUGCAAAGAUGGAUGUACCAAAUGUACGACAAACUUCCCUCCUGGAGGCCCGCGAUGCCACUUUGGCCAAUCCAUGUACAUUAGCGGUUAGUUAAUCAUCUGCCCUUACACAUGGUUUCAACGUGACGGGUUCGGGCAUAUAGGCGUUGGGCCAUGUUGGAUACGGAACCCGCACACUGCACACUGAGAGCCAGAGACUCCUUGACCGCCAAUUCAUCAGACCGCCUUGCGAGCAGUCUGUUAUCUCUGGGAGUGACAAGGUUUCGGGCCACCACCGCAGCUGUCAUAUCAUUUUUUCAUCACCGAAUCCCCCACGGUAAGGGGACCGGUAGGGAUAUGAAGGAUGGCCGCCAUAUGUUGUCUGGUGAAGGCGGAGCUGCCUCUUCACCAAUGUUCAAGUCAAAACGACGAUCAGAAGGGCCAGACAUUUUUCAGAGGUGGUAAAGAAAGAAGAGAGUCGGAAUGAUCAAGAUUAAACAAGUGCAAGAAGGGAGUGUUUACAGGAGGGUACUCAAGUGUGUUGUGGAACAAAAUUAACGCCUCUAUAAAAAGAAGAAAUCAAAGAGGCGCUCCUCAGAGAAGCGUCCUCUCGCAAAUCGAAGAGUCGGGGCUCCUUUCUCAAAAGCCGGAUUCUUUUCUCAAAAGAGGAGUUUCCGUUCUCAAAAGCCGGAUUCUUUUCUCAAAAAGAGGCGUUUCAUUUCUUAAAAGUUGGGCUUGCUCAGAAACCACGAGCCGAACCCCGGAUUUCGCAAGAUCAAUUCGUCCAGACGUGUUGUCACCCGUCACACGCAAACUCAGCUCUGCGAAAAUCACGGGCAGUCUGUCGAAAGUGCCGAUUCCAACCAUCUGUCUCUCUCAGCCUAGUCAGCAUUUGUCACAUGCAACUGGCAGCUUUGCGGAAAUUACGGGCAGCUUUGUCAGAAAGCGCGUAAUUUGUACUAUUCAUCCAUCCACCGGCUGCCGACACUAAGUGAGAGAACAGUUCCGGUUGUGAAGACAAGUCCUAUAAGUUUCUACCUUCGCCUUCCACAGCAAAAGCACACUCUCUCAGCACACCCUCUCAACACCUCUUCAUCUCCGAAAAUGCAUUCCCAAAGAAUCCUCUCGAGUCACUCUGUGUUCCUCAUUCCUUGGGAUACUCCUGCGAACAACCCAUUCAAAGCAAAAGUAUUUCAUAUCAUAAAGGUUGAAAGCAAGAGUAUCUCAUAUCAUGCUUUCUCCAUGUCCUUCUCCUUGUCUUUGUUUUCCGACAAGGAGAAAAGAGAGCAAUCAGCCAGCAUUUGGUAUCAAUCUUCCAAUCUGGAGCCAACUGCCUGGAACCCCUUCCUGAUUGCUUACCUAGCCUUGCUCUCGAGUACUACUCAUCUUCAUCAUUUUAUGCUUUCUCUUCGUCUACCACAUCUGCCUGGGGGACAGUAAGGGAAGUGAAAAUGAUACCUCGAAGCAUGUGGAGACAAUUCAGCUAGGGACAAGGAGAAAGAAAGCAAGAGGUGGGCACUUGGAAAGAUUGAAGAAAGAAAUAAGGACCAACACCUUUCCCUCGUGCCUGCCCGUUGUGCAGAAGAAACAAGCAGAGAAGAAUGCAGCUUGCACACAAUCAUCCCAGCGGAAGGAGUCCGAACUGAGGAACUAGAGAAGCUGCCACAUCUGCUUGGAGAACAAAUAAGGAACUGCAACUUAACCAAAGAGCAAAGCCUUCGCCAGUACAAUAUCAUAAAAUCAUCACUUGCAAGUGAAAAGCUAAGUGUCACCCUGUUCAAGAGGAAAGCUGUGGAAAGUCAACAAGCACGACCAAUGAUUACUUAUUAGUUUUAUUCAUUAUCUUUUAUCGUAAUUUUCAAUUUUUCGUUUGCAAUUUUUUUUAAUUAAUUUUCUUGCGUUACUUAACUGAAUUAUUUCUUUUCUUUGCAGGAACUUUUGGUUAUUUCCACCCUUGAAGUUGAUUGCAGAAUUUUAGCUUGGGGGUCAUCGCUUGAUUUUACUGCAAAUUAGGGAAGUUUUCAGUCCAAUUGUUUUAUUUUGUUUCUUAUUAUUUAUUUAUUUUAUUUUUAUUUGCAUUAUAGUGUUUUUUUCUGUGACAUUGGGGACAAUGUCAAGUUUAAGUGUGGGGGUAGAAAUCUCCAGAAUUUCAUUUGUUUCUGUGUUGUGUUUCUGUGUUGUUGUUUUUUGUCUGUGUUGUUGCUUUUUGUUUUCUUAUAAAAAAAAAAAAAAAAAAAAAAAUCGGAAAAUUUAAAAAUCCAAAAAUAUUGUCGUUUUCUUUAUUGUUUUAAAUUAGAUUUUUGUUAGUUUCCCGACCCAAUGAUAUAAUUAGAUCAAAUUUGAAUCAGGAUUAUCAAGAACUUAGUUAACAUGUGUUUUGUGAAAUUCCUAAUUCUCUUGUUAGUUUUGUACAUGUUUGACCAUCUUUGAAAAACCAAAUGCACAUAGCCUUGUUAAUGUGAAACUAAAGUAUGACUUAAAGCUUCAUAUGUGAAUUUAGUGACCAUAUACAUCCUAUGUGAGUUUUUGAGCCUAUUGAAAGUGUGUGCAUUUUUCAUACACUCCUAUUCUUUCAUGUGUGAUGAACUUAUGUGAGAUACAUCUCUAGAACUUGCGUAACGAUCUUUCGAAAUGUUUGUCAUUGAUUGCAUGAACUUGGAAAUGAUAGAGGCAUUAGGUUUACCACUAUGGCCCAAAUAACCAUGUUUCCCAAAGAAAAAAAUGAUAUCAUUAGAUUGCCAAUUUGAGCCAUGUAUGUUGAGCCUUUUAUUUCUUAUCACCAGAUAUGUCUACCCUUAUACCUGAAACAUUUUUCCUUACCCUUUCCAAGCAAGCUAGUGAGCAAUGUGAGAUUGUUUUAUGAGAAACGUUUGUGAAGUACUUUGAAGGUGUUUGGCAAAAGAAUAAGUGUGUGGAGGUAUUUCGUGUUUGUAUUUAAAAAAAAAAAAAAAAAAAAAAAAAAAAAAAAGAGAAAAGAAAAGAAAAAGAAAGAUUGUAUACGAAAAAAAAAAAAAAGAAAGAAAAAAAAAAAGAAAAAAAAAAAGUUUUUUUUUAAAAGUUUCAGUUUAAGGGUAUGGUUGGAGGUGCUAGAAGAAUCGCUGAAAAAAUUGAGUUCUUAUAAAUCUAAACAAAAGAAUUGCUUGCAAUAUAGCUUGGAACUUGUGUUUUCCUAUUCUUUCAUUUCAAUAACCCUAUCCCUAAGCCUCAUUACAUCCAAUAAAAGUCAUCUUGAUUUAAGUUUUGCAAUUAUGACUGUGGAGAAGUGAUCUUUAUGCAAGCUUAUGGUAGAAAUUUCACAUUUGUUUCUUUGAGCGAAACACAUUAAAACUAAACACAUGUGUGAUUGAGUGCAUAUCCCGUGAGAAGGUCACUAGUUUGCAUAUGAUGAUUUUAAAAAUAAAAACUUGAAAUUGCAUUAGCAUGGCUAUCUCACACACUACACUUCAAGGAUGAUUUGAAGACUACUGCUAAUAUUUGAAUAAGGAAGAUGAACUUGGAUUAGUUCCUUGAUGCUAGCUAUGGUUCUUGAUGAUUUGUUUUCUUAAAUGAAAUUCUAUGAGGGUCAGAUAGGGAGAAACUAAUGUUUUUCUUGUUACUUCUUGUUCUUGUUUUCUUUGUUUUGCUCGAGGACUAGCAAAAGUUAAGUGUGGGGGUAUUUGAUCGGAUGAUAUUUAUAUAUAUUUUUACUUCGAAUUCACUCGUCUUUUCUUAGUUAGUUCCUUAUAUUUUUGAGCUAUUUACGUUAUUUUUGUGUUUAUAGGAUUUGUUAUGCAAAGAAAAUAAAAAUAGAACAAGUGAAAUUUUAUGUAAUAAAUUCGUCAAAACUGUCUGUGUAGAUCAGCUUUUAAAUAAAAUUAAAAAAAAUAUAUAUAUAUAAUAAUAAUAACAAGUCAUGAUGAUGUUUGAAACAUCAUCAUGAUUCAUGUUUUGUAGAAGAAGAAAGGAACGGCAAAGAAGAAAAGAAAAAGAAAGAAAAGAAAAAGAAAGGAAAAGGAAAAGAAGGAAAAGGAAAAGAAGAAAAAAAUAAAUAUAAACAAGCAGAAAAAGGGAGAGACGGAAAGCAGAAGGAAGUCAGGGAGCUGCCUUUGCAGCUGGCGGGUCAGAAAACAGCGUGCAGAAAGUGAGGGCAGAGAGGCACUGGCAGACUGGAGGAAUAAGAAACACGAAAAGCAAAGUGAGGGGAGGAGGAUAUAGAAGUGAGAAGGAGGUGAUUGUGGAAGGGGAAUUUUGGUGGAAGGCAGAGGGCUGCCCUUUGGGCAGCGUGAAGCUGCGGAGAGAAGGGAAGGGGGAAGCUGCCCUUUGGCAGCGAGGUCAGACAGCACAGGAAAACAGAAAGAAGGAGGGCAGCUCGCAGACGUAGAGAGGACAGGAGGUCAGCAUGAAAAUGCAGUUCAGAGUUCAUGCAGUUCAGAGUCCAAGCAGCAGAUCCUUUCUUUCGGUUUAAUCUUUCCAAACUCCUAUUUUUUAUUUCUAUUUUUAAUAAUGUGUAAUUAAAUUUAUUUUGGCUAGAGGUUAAUUCAAAGUCAUGGAUAUAUUUGUAAUAUGAAUUGAUUACCUUCGGUUGUGAUUUCAUAAGUUGUGAUUUCAAUUUACUUAUCCGUUCGUAUAAAAACUGAUUUGUGUAUGUUGGUUGAGAGUGCACGCUUAAUUUACAUGCAUGAAUUUGAUGCUAGAAUAUAAGUGAAUUUCACCUAAUCGUUAUGAAC